ACAACAAUUGAACCCAUCACAAUAUUGGGAAAUAUAUCCUAGAGGCAAAUGCACAGAGUCUCGAAGGCUGUGAUCUUCUGAUGCCCAGAGUAAGCAAGUAAGCUCCUGCUCGUCACAUGAACAGAUUUGAAGACUCAUGUUUUCUUGGGAUCAUCGGCCUGGAUGUGUCGGGAUCAGGACCAUAAAAAUCAUACGUCUUAUCG
rnacentral:lncRNA from 1 species